rnacentral:rRNA from 1 species
CAGCAGCCGCGGUAAUACGAAGGGGGCUAGCGUUGCUCGGAAUUACUGGGCGUAAAGGGCGCGUAGGCGGACAGUUCAGUCAGGGGUGAAAGCCCGGGGCUCAACCUCGGAAUUGCCUUUGAUACUGGCUGUCUUGAGUACGGGAGAGGUGUGUGGAACUCCGAGUGUAGAGGUGAAAUUCGUAGAUAUUCGGAAGAACACCGAUGGCGAAGGCAGCCCCCUGGGCCAACACUGACGCUCAUGCACGAAAGCGUGGGGAGCAGACAGGAUUAGAUACCCGCGUAGUCCCUGUCUCUUAUAA